GAUGAACGCUGGCGGCGUGCCUAAUACAUGCAAGUCGAGCGAACGGACGAGAAGCUUGCUUCUCUGAUGUUAGCGGCGGACGGGUGAGUAACACGUGGAUAACCUACCUAUAAGACUGGGAUAACUUCGGGAAACCGGAGCUAAUACCGGAUAAUAUUUUGAACCGCAUGGUUCAAAAGUGAAAGACGGUCUUGCUGUCACUUAUAGAUGGAUCCGCGCUGCAUUAGCUAGUUGGUAAGGUAACGGCUUACCAAGGCAACGAUGCAUAGCCGACCUGAGAGGGUGAUCGGCCACACUGGAACUGAGACACGGUCCAGACUCCUACGGGAGGCAGCAGUAGGGAAUCUUCCGCAAUGGGCGAAAGCCUGACGGAGCAACGCCGCGUGAGUGAUGAAGGUCUUCGGAUCGUAAAACUCUGUUAUUAGGGAAGAACAUAUGUGUAAGUAACUGUGCACAUCUUGACGGUACCUAAUCAGAAAGCCACGGCUAACUACGUGCCAGCAGCCGCGGUAAUACGUAGGUGGCAAGCGUUAUCCGGAAUUAUUGGGCGUAAAGCGCGCGUAGGCGGUUUUUUAAGUCUGAUGCGAAAGCCCACGGCUCAACCGUGGAGGGUCAUUGGAAACUGGAAAACUUGAGUGCAGAAGAGGAAAGUGGAAUUCCAUGUGUAGCGGUGAAAUGCGCAGAGAUAUGGAGGAACACCAGUGGCGAAGGCGACUUUCUGGUCUGUAACUGACGCUGAUGUGCGAAAGCGUGGGGAUCAAACAGGAUUAGAUACCCUGGUAGUCCACGCCGUAAACGAUGAGUGCUAAGUGUUAGGGGGUUUCCGCCCCUUAGUGCUGCAGCUAACGCAUUAAGCACCCCGCCUGGGGAGUACGACCGCAGGGUUGAAACUCAAAGGAAUUGACGGGGACCCGCACAAGCGGUGGAGCAUGUGGUUUAAUUCGAAGCAACGCGAAGAACCUUACCAAAUCUUGACAUCCUUUGACAACUCUAGAGAUAGAGCUUUCCCCUUCGGGGGACAAAGUGACAGGCGGUGCAUGGUUGUCGUCAGCUCGUGUCGUGAGAUGUUGGGUUAAGUCCCGCAACGAGCGCAACCCUUAAGCUUAGUUGCCAUCAUUAAGUUGGGCACUCUAAGUUGACUGCCGGUGACAAACCGGAGGAAGGUGGGGAUGACGUCAAAUCAUCAUGCCCCUUAUGAUUUGGGCUACACACGUGCUACAAUGGACAAUACAAAGGGCAGCGAAACCGUGAGGUCAAGCAAAUCCCAUAAAGUUGUUCUCAGUUCGGAUUGUAGUCUGCAACUCGACUACAUGAAGCUGGAAUCGCUAGUAAUCGUAGAUCAGCAUGCUACGGUGAAUACGUUCCCGGGUCU
rnacentral:rRNA from 1 species